UACGAAGGGGGCUAGCGUUGCUCGGAAUUACUGGGCGUAAAGGGCGCGUAGGCGGACAGUUUAGUCAGAGGUGAAAGCCCAGGGCUCAACCUUGGAAUUGCCUUUGAUACUGGCUGUCUUGAGUACGGGAGAGGUGAGUGGAACUCCGAGUGUAGAGGUGAAAUUCGUAGAUAUUCGGAAGAACACCAGUGGCGAAGGCGACUCACUGGCCCGUUACUGACGCUGAGGUGCGAAAGCGUGGGGAGCAAACAGG
rnacentral:rRNA from 1 species